GACGAACGCUGGCGGCGUGCUUAACACAUGCAAGCCGAGCGGUAAGGCCCUUUCGGGGGUACACGAGCGGCGAACGGGUGAGUAACACGUGGGUGACCUGCCCUCAGCUCUGGGAUAAGCCUGGGAAACCGGGUCUAAUACUGGAUAUGACUCCAUGACGCAUGUUGUGGGGUGGAAAGCCUUGUGCGGCUGAGGAUGGGCCCGCGGCCUAUCAGCUUGUUGGUGGGGUGAUGGCCUACCAAGGCGACGACGGGUAGCCGGCCUGAGAGGGCGACCGGCCACACUGGGACUGAGACACGGCCCAGACUCCUACGGGAGGCAGCAGUGGGGAAUCUUGCGCAAUGGGCGAAAGCCUGACGCAGCGACGCCGCGUGAGGGAUGACGG
rnacentral:rRNA from 1 species